rnacentral:rRNA from 1 species
CGACCCCAGGUCAGGCGGGGCCACCCGCCGAGCUUAAGCAUAUCAAUAAGCGGAGGAGGAGAAACUUACGAGGAUUCCCCUAGUAACGGCGAGCGAACCGGGACCAGCCCAGCUUGAGAAUCGUGCGGCUGCGCCGCUCGAAUUGUAGUCUGGUGAAGCGUCCUCAGCGGCGGACCGGGCCCGAGUCCCCUGGAAAGGGGCGCCCGGGAGGGUGAGAGCCCCGUCCGGCCCGGACCCUGCCGCACCACGAGGCGCUGUCGGCGAGUCGGGCUGUUUGGGAAUGCAGCCCCAAUCGGGCGGUAAAUUCCGUCCAAGA